GUAGUGAGACACACUGUGAUCUCCAUCAUAGUAUCAUCUAAAUUUUUUUGAUGGGCUGAAAUGAUUCUAACUCAACCCAACAAGGAUCAUUGAUCCAAAAAUGAUCCUAGUAAGUUCUCACAAUCCAUCGUUAAUAUCUAAUAAUAUGUAGUGACAAUUCAAUAGAAUAGAAAGAUGAACCUUUAGAUGUAGUUACUAUAUAAUCAAGUCUUCUAUCGAAAGUCCUGACAAGAUGUAGGUCAUGAAAACUCAUCAAACUCUAAACAUCCAUUAU
rnacentral:lncRNA from 1 species